ACGGCUGUACCAUGCUGAAUAUACCGGUUCUCGUUAGAUCACCGAAGUCAAGCAUCAUUGGGCGCCGGUCAGUACUUGGGUGGGUGACCACCUGGGAACACUGCGUGCCGUU
rnacentral:rRNA from 1 species